UACGGAGGGGCGAGCGUUGUCCGAAGUUACUGGGCGUAAAGCGCGCGUAGGCGGGAGGCCAAGUCCGCUGUGAAAGCCCGGGGCUUAACCCCGGCGGGUCGGUGGAGACUGGUCUUCUUGAAGAUGCUAGGGGGAGAUGGAAUUAUCGGUGUAGCGGUGAAAUGCGUAGAGAUCGAUAGGAACACCAGUGGCGAAGGCGGUCUCCUGGGGCACUCUUGACGCUGAGGCGCGAAAGCUGGGGGAGCGAACGGG
rnacentral:rRNA from 1 species